UCAUAAGUUCUCUAUGUUCCUUUUAUUUUAAGUAGAAAUAUGGUUUGGGGAUGGUAGUCUUGUAAAUUUAAGCGGUCACCAGAGAAAUUUUUGACAAAGAGACAAAAAAAAACUAUGUCUUCUUAUUGGUCUGUCUUCUUCUUGAGAACGUAGCAAGAGACAUAGUGAGUCUAUUAGUUUCGGUAAGGAAGAGGAAGAGACAGAAGACGCAGAUGUUCUUAAGAGAUGGCCUGAAGAAGAUAACUUUAAGAGUGCCAAUGUCGUAAAAGGGGUCUUAUGGCACACAGGGUGAAGUCAGGCAAAACAAGAAAAGAAAAUAAAAGGCUGGUAGCAUAUAAAUGGAGAGCUUGAAGCUCAUUAUGAUUAUGUUCUCACAUGUAGACUACAUUUCUUCUCUAUAUAUACGAAGUUGUAAUAUUCUUCAUGAUACAACCCAUAUUGUUAUGCAGUUUAAGCUAAGUGAAGGCUGUUAGUUAAUUAAUUUAUUACCUUUGUUGGAUUGAUUUACUGUACCAUGUUCGUCGUUCUUUUUUCGAUUUAAAGCUACCGCAAGAAAAUCAAACCUCA